rnacentral:rRNA from 1 species
GCUUACGCCACACCACCCUGAGCGCGCGAUCUCGUCUGAUCUCGGAAGCUAAGCAGGGUCGGGCCUGGUUAGUACUUGGAUGGGAGACCGCCUGGGAAUACCAGGUGCCGUAAGCU